UACUAGAACACACCCGCGAAAUCGCGGGCAUUCAGACCGUAGUUUAAAGUAUGUAAAGUGUUGUUGGAAGAAUUUUGUAAAAUAUUGAAUGACUGGAGAAUUUCAGCAAAUGUAUCAUAAGUCAUAGGUUAUUGGGGACAGGAAAAUGUUUUUUUUAUCCCUCCUUCUUCAUUUCCAAAAUUCCCAAUUUUUGGUUUUCUAUCAAUUUCAAUAUGAACAUACAUUUAGUAUGUUAUGAACAUUUAAGUAAGGAACCUGUAAUUCAGUGGUUGUCG
rnacentral:lncRNA from 1 species